rnacentral:rRNA from 1 species
GUGAGGAAUUUUGCGCAAUGGGGGAAACCCUGACGCAGCGACGCCGUGUGAGGGAAGAAGGCUUUCGGGUCGUAAACCUCUGUCAGGAAGGAAGAACCUCUCAAGGCUGAACAAGCCUUGGGACUGACGGUACUUCCAGAGGAAGCACCGGCUAACUCCGUGCCAGCAGCCGCGGUAAUACGGAGGGUGCAAGCGUUAAUCGGAAUCACUGGGCGUAAAGCGCGCGUAGGCCGUCUUUUAAGUCGGACGUGAAAGCCCUCGGCUGAACCGGGGAACUGGGUUCGAUACUGCGAGGGUUGAGUCCUGGAGAGGGUGGCGGAAUUCCGGGUGUAGGAGUGAAAUCCGUAGAUAUCCGGAGGAACACCGGUGGCGAAGGCGGCCACCUGGACAGGUACUGACGCUGAGGCGCGAAAGCGUGGGGAGCAAACAGGAUUAGAUACCCCGGUAGUCC